ensembl:lncRNA
AAUACAUAUGGAAGUUGGAGAUUUGGAAAUUAACUCCCGUAUCGCUGUGAUGGUGAACCCCUUGGGAAGUGUUGGCUUUUGCCCCAGUUCAAAAAAUGCUGGUCUAGAGCAGUGAAAGAUGGGUCUUUGGUCCUUUUGCUGAAAGAAAGAGGAAGACCAAGACUGCUUGAACUGCCAGGGAGAGAGCAGUGAAGUUGGCGGGCAUUGGAGGCAGCCGUGUAGGUAGAUCGGCCGCAGCAUCUCCGUCCCAGCUGUGUGGAGGAGGGAGCCGAUGGUGAGCCCCAGGUGUGUGGAGACUCUGGGAUCUUCACUGUUUGCCUUCUGCAAAGCUCCUUCUCUAACUUUACCUUUUAGGUGCCUGGAGGGCUGAUGGAGCUGAAAUGGGGACGCUCAGAUUGCAGUGAAGGUCAGAGGUGUUUCUGGAUUCAUGUUUUAUCUAUGCAAUUAGUAUAAAUUCCCCAAAUCUGUUCCACGAUGGAUGUUACUUUCAUGUAUAUGUAAAAUUGUACAUAUGAAAUAUAUAUAUAUAUAUAUGUAAACUUUUUUCUAAAGUAGCUUAAUGUAUGUCUUGUUCCAGGAAGAUGUGUUAUGCUUAUCUGGUUUCUUUCCCCUUGCGCUCCAAAGCAUGAGGGUACAUAUGCCCCAGGUGAGAGAGACAGUAGCUUAAAGGAUGCUAGAUUUGGAGCCUAAAACCUUCGUUUAGUUACAGUAUGGCUGUUUCAUAGCCAUAUGAUUGAUCUUGUUCAGAUCUUUUAAUCCCUUCAACUGGUAGUUUUCUCAUGCAGAAAAAAUUGUACAUUACGCUUGCCUUUGAAUUUCAUAGUUGUUCAUUUGUUUAUUCACUAAGUUAAUAUUUGAUAAGGGCUUACUAUAUGUCAAGCCCUAUUACACAUAUUGGGAUAGCAGCACUGAACAAAUCAGACGAAAAUUUCUGUCCUCGGAGUUCCCGUUGUGGCGCAGUGGAAACGAAUCCCACUAGGAACCAUGAGGUUGCAGGUUCAAUCCCUGGCUUUGCUCAGUGGGUUAAGGAUCUGGCAUUGCCGUGAGCUGGGUUGAAUCGGAGCUGUAGCUGCCAGCCUACGCCAGAGCCACAGCAACGCGGGACCCGAGCCGCGUCUGCGACCUACACCACAGCUCACGGCAACGCCGGAUCGAUAACCCACUGAGCAAGGGCAGGGACCGAACCCGCAACCUCAUGGUUCCUAGUCGGGUUUGUUAACCACUGCGCCACGAUGGGAACUCCAGAGAGAAAGUCUUUUAAAUUAUAACCCAAGAUUUGGUUUGGGAGAGAAAAAUUAGGGAAGGAACUUUUAACUUAAUCCAGAAUCAUUUGUGAGUCUGACCAGAUGAUACUGAGAAGCUUGAAUCUUUUUUUUAGCGCUCAUUGCUGCUUUUAUUGGAUUGAUGAUGGUUUUCUGAGCACCUAUAGUUUUAUAAUUGUUAGCAGGAAAGAAGUGCCUCUUGUGAUGUUAUGUACAAGGUGGGUUAUGAAGAAAGCCAUAGUCUUUUAUAUACCAUAUACUUUCCUCUCAUUAUCACGUAUUCUAGUUGACUCUGUCUAAAAAUUAUGAGAAAAAAAAAUAGAGGACCUUGUGAGGUCAGUGGAUGAUGAUCAGCAUUUAGAACCAUAAGACAAGAUUUGGACACGGCCCCUUGAAUACGCUUGCUUUCCAAGUAUGAUGGCUGUUUUGAAAGUCAUCAGUGAGUAUCCACAUGCCCAGUAAAAAAAAAAAAAAAAAAA